CAGUCGCCGCGGGAACACCAGCACCUCGAGUGGUCAGGAGGUUUAUUGGGCCUAAAGCAUCCGUAGCCGGUUGCAUAAGUUUUCGGUUAAAUCUAUGCGCUUAACGUAUAGGCCGCCGAAAAUACUGUGCAGCUAGGGAGUGGGAGAGGUACACGGUACUCGAUAGGAAGGGGUAAAAUCCUUUGAUCUAUUGAUGACCACCUGAGGCGAAGGCGGUGUACCAGAACACGUUCGACGGUGAGGGAUGAAAGCUGGGGGAGCAAACCGGAUUAGAUACCCGUGUAGUCCCUGUCUCUUAUAU
rnacentral:rRNA from 1 species